AUAAAAAAGAGAAAAGAACUACAGCUUUAGUUUUUUUAGCGUGACCUAACCGUCAGAUCCCCCAUGUUCAACCUCACGCCAACAGACAAAUCAGCGCCAACCAAUACCGUAAUUAGAACAUUGCCGCCCACAUCCAAUUGAUCGCCGCUAUCAUCGAUCAGCACGUGUCGCCGCCGGUGAGACUCUCUCUCCCUCUCUCUCAGUUCUGUUUAGCCGCCGUUCACUGUCGGCCGCCCUUACACAUGCCGACCGUUGUUCGCCGAUCUCUGCGCCGAUGUCAUUGGGAGUCGUCGCUACCGCCGGAGAUGAUCGGGUUCCCGUGCAGCAGCGUCAAAGCUGGGUUUUCGUUGGUUCUAGCAAAUUGAACAAUCUUGAAUCGCUUUACCCACUUCGUUUCAACAUUCGAACUCAAUUUCUUAAGCAUUUGGAGCAAAUUUCAGCAAGGGACUUAGUUUUUGAUUAAAGAUUUAGGCUGCUGUAAGUCGCUAUCCAGCAGGUUCCAAGGAGUUCGAUGAUUUUCUUUCUGUCAAGUGAUUAAGAUUCGGAUCCUUGAGCAUAGUGAAAAAUUAUUUUGGAGCAAACUAUGUGUUGGGUUUCUUUCAAGUUUGCCAAAGUACAAAAGGAGAUUUCACUUCAAGUAUUAUAUUUGGGCUUAAUUUCGAGGAAGGCGAUACUAUUACUGGAAUGCCUUCGAGUCUAGCGAAAGUUAGAUGUUUGUUUAUGUACCUGUUCUAUGCGAUUAAUUAUGAAAGUAUGUAUGCCAUGUGACUUAUUAUGAAAUUAUGAAUGAUUUGUUAUGUAGAUAAUCUAGUGCAUGAAAGUGAUGUACUGAGGUCAUUAUUAUGAUAUUAUGCACGUUUUUCAA